ACUGCAACUAACAAACUAAGAAGGAGACGCCAUAACUCUCUUCACAUUUUCAAAAUCAACGCACACGCAUUUCCACCACAAACACAUUCUCUUUCUCUCAUUUUUCAUUCUCACUUUCCAACUGCAUUUUUCUCAACCGUUUUCAAUUCUCAAUCCGUUUCGUCUUCUCGCAUUGCUCUCAGUCUCCUUUUCAGAUCGCAUUCCAACAACGGAAUUCUCAUAUAUGUUUCCUUUUUUUUACAUAAUUUGUAUCGUUUCGAAUUUUCAGAUUCUGGUUUCGAGCACGGAAUCGAGCACCAGAACUUGCUGAAUUACUCUUUAGUUAAGAUAAUGAUUGGGGCUUGA